GCGCUAAACUGAAUACGUCCAAUUCCACACGACCGGUUUGCAUAGGUUGCCCUAGGAAUAGGCUAGAUGAUAUCCUCCGCAUUUGCAUCGAUCCACGAGCAGCUGGAACUACGGAACAGUGCGGCGCACCUGACCGAAAAGCUGUGCGAGCCGCUCCGAGCGCCAGGGCGGGAGGGAGCCCGCGCUCGUAGGUGGGAGCAGCAGAUGGCGGAGAGCCGGGGUCCCUAAACGGGGUCAUUUCUCAAGAACUCCUCCUCAGCCCACAGAAGCGAGGGAUUACAUCACGCCGGGGAGCUCCACAGGAGAAAAAGCUUGACGAGCGAUGUGACGCUGUUACCCCGGCCAGCUGAAACCCUCCCUCCCUGGAUGACGUGAGCUCCAUUUGGUGCAUCGCCCUACAGGACUGCCGGCUACUGCCAGCACUGGCAUGAGUUUGUUACCAGGCUGGAAACUGGAACAUUGCCUUAACAGGAUAAGACACCUAGAAGCCCUAUAUUUCCAUUUUUAUCUUUGUAAUAGUAAAAAAAAAAAAAAAGAAUUGAUAAAAUAUGUGCAAAUCUACAUUUAAUAUUACCAGUCAAUACAUUAUUCAACUGGCUGAUACUUUCACCUGAUUUGUUUCAAAUAACUUAUUUAUUAUUCAUUAACCCAAAGCUAAUCAUUGAUACACAUUUGUAAGGGUUGCUAUUAAUGCAUUAAUUAAUCAUGAAUAGGAUCCCUCAAUAGACCGUAUUAAUCUGUACCUAAUGGCUUGUUACUAAUUAAUGACCUAGAAAACUAUUAAAUUAUUUUUCCUGCAUAGGUUUUAAAUAGGAUAUAAUGGGCUUAGGAAUCUAUUAAAAGUAGGAACUUGGAUUAUACUCUGUCCCAAGAGUGCUUUAAAAACUAAGAAAGAAAUGAAGAUGUUUGUCAGGGGUAUAUUCUGUACACUAUUAUGGUGAUCCUUUAUAGCUAAUAGGCAACUAAGCUUUCUUUUUCAAAGCAGUUAUUUUAAAGCAUGCCCAGUCAAACAGAUGCUUUUAGCAUGAAAAGCUGAAAGUGGCAAUAGAUGAAAAAUGAUACAUUUUUCUGGCUAUGGAUUUCAUGCAUCAGUUGUAACACCAGGCAUGAGUUGAAAAUUGUAUUACUAUUGAUAAUCUAUCAAAAUUAAUGCUUGAAUCUACCACUGACACCAGUUUAUUGUAUUAAUUUGAUUCACCGGCAAUACAUGUGGUACAAAGCAAUCCAGUUAAAGCCUA